rnacentral:rRNA from 1 species
UUCCGGUUGAUCCUGUCGGACCUGGCUGCUAUCGGAUUGAUACUAAGCCAUGCGAGUCAUUGUAGCAAUACAAGGCAUACGGCUCAGUAACGCGUAGUCAACCUAACCUAUGGACGGGAAUAACCUCGGGAAACUGAGAAUAAUGCCCGAUAGAACACUAUACCUGGAAUGGUUUGUGUUCCAAAUGAUUUAUCGCCGUAGGAUGGGACUGCGGCCUAUCAGUUUGUUGGUGAGGUAAUGGCCCACCAAGACUAUUACAGGUACGGGCUCUGAGAGGAGUAGCCCGGAGAUGGGUACUGAGACACGGACCCAGGCCCUAUGGGGCACAGCAGGCGAGAAAACUUUGCAAUGUGCGAAAGCACGACAAGGUUAAUCCGAGUGAUUUGUGCUAAACGAAUCUUUUGUUAGUCCUAGAACCACUAACGAAUAAGGGGUGGGCAAGUUCUGGUGUCAGCCGCCGCGGUAAAACCAGCACCUCAAGUGGUCAGGAUGAUUAUUGGGCCUAAAGCAUCCGUAGCCGGCUCUGUAAGUUUUCGGUUAAAUCUGUACGCUUAACGUACAGGCUGCCGGGAAUACUGCAGAGCUAGGGAGUGGGAGAGGUAGACGGUACUCGGUAGAAAGGGGUAAAAUCCUUUGAUCUAUUGAUGACCACCUGUGGCGAAGGCGGUCUACCAGAACACGUCCGACGGUGAGGGAUGAAAGCUGGGGGAGCAAACCGGAUUAGAUACCCGGGUAGUCCCAGCUGUAAACUAUGCAAACUCAGUGAUGCAUUGACUUGUGGUCAAUGCAGUGCUGCAGG